UUCCUUCUUCGCGCCGAUUUGAGCCACAGCUUGCGGGCGCGUAACAAAUUCCGCUAAAGCGUGCCGAGAAACCCGGUU
rnacentral:ncRNA from 2 species